GAGAGGGAGAGGGAGAGGGAGAGGGAGAGGGAGAGGAAAGGUAUAUCUUUGUGUCUUACUGCCAGAUUCUAUUUUAAUUGGCAAUAAAUUAAAUUAAUUUUCUCUAGUCAACUCUGUUUUGCCUACAACAGUAACUGGUAAGCAAUCUCCCUGUAUGUUGACCAAUGGGCUUUCUCAUCCUAUUUUCUCCCCAUGCGCUGCUGAGAGGGGUUAUGAGUGAGCAGCUGGAUGGAAAUUUGGAUGUUUGCCAAAGCUAACCCACCACAAUAGUGAACCUGGCACAAUGUGUCAAGAACUCUGCAGCACAUGGACUAUCUCAACCUGGAGCCUCUGCAAUAAGGAUAUAUUUGGUUUCAAUCAAAGGAAGCACUGGGAAAGUAGAAGAAAUAUCUUCAGCAUUACCUCCAGACAGAUCUCCUGACAGAAGUCAACCAUCCUAGCUCAAGUGUCUGUGUAUAUUCUGAAGUCCAUGGUCCACUUCUACAAAAUCCUGCAUUAAAGCCUCUUCAGCAUGAUCCUGUCAAGUUUUAGAAAAUGCACAGGGUGGGAGCUAGUGUUAGACCAAACUGUCUUUGAAAAAGCUGGGUUAUUUCUGCAGGUCAUGUUUUAACUGGUGGAGCUCUGCCUUUUCAACCAAUGUGAACUCAAUGACAAAUCUUGUCUGAGGCUGAGCACUAGAGCUGUGCCUUUGUGCGACAGAAAUUAAAAUCAAGUUUUGUUUAUUCGCAGUUGACAGAGACUGUUUAGCACUAAUGCAUGAGUUGUAACAUACCAGCUAUGACCUCCUGCUUAGACCACAUUUUGGGUAGCUAUACUCCAGAUGUUAGCACUCCUUAACAUCUCAAAUCGACAAAAAAAUUCUCUAACCUGGGGACAGGGCUGUGCGGUGUCGAAAGAAUUGUUCUGACUACUACCAACCUGGCUACCUGACAUACAUGAAAGAGAACGUUUAUAAAUGCUUUGAAAUUGCAGGAUAUUGGUCAGUAUAUAAUUAUUUCCAAAUCUAAUACCAACAUUAUUAUUAUUGUGUUAGCAGAAUUGUAACAAAGAUUAAAUCACUUGUUGAAGUUUCACUUUACUAACAUUGUAUUGUGGGGUUUGUAAUCAAAGGGAAAAACAUAAUUCUGGCUUACUUCCUAUAUUCUUAAUCUGACAAUGAUUUAGGAAAAAUCUUUCAUUACAGAGGAUGAGAAUGCAUUUUCCCAAACCUGUUAUUUCUCUCUGAAAUCAAACACUUGUUCUCAUUCUCAUAUAUGAAUAAUGAAAAUCCUUUUUUUUCCUGAGUCAUUCCCUGUGGACUUUUCUCCAUUAAAGGAAGGCUAAAUGAGGUGGGCAGAAUAUCUAGAGCACCUCUAAAGCAUAGCUAUCUAAGCAGGUUUAAUUUUGAGGCCCCACUAAACAGCUUGCAAUCUUGCAGGGCAGGAGAUUUUUCUCCAGUUCUGUGGUUACUGAACUUUCCAUGAACCUGUCCUCUAAUGUCAGGUCUAUUGUACAUGAAUUAACCUAUGUCCUGUCAUGUCACCCUUUACAGCUGUCCUGAGUCUUCUAGGACGUUCUUUGCUGGUCUUCAUGUCCUCUGCAGACCAAUUUUCAGGCUGACAUCAGAGGAAUGCUGUUCUUUCUCUUCCUCUCUCCAACUUAUGAUUUUUAAAGCCAUUCAUUUCACUUUGCAUUUGACAUGAAGGCAAGGAAGUACAUUUUAAAAAUCACCUAUUGGGAAAGUAAUAAAAGCCUUGAGCCAUUAAAUUCAUACACGUUUUUCCUUAGCCUUUGCCAAGUUAUGUGCAAUAAAACAAUUUGACUGUCCUUGACCACACUUGAUUGUUGACUAUCAGAGUGUCCUAGCUAGAGCAGCCGGGACCAGUUCAUCACUGUGUGGAUGUAACCCAAACUGUGUAUUCUACACCCUAUAUGUCAUUUCCCAGGAACUGUUAACAAUAGAUCAUUUGCAGCAGCUGCCCAGAGCACACCUGACCCCUCAGGCUAUAAGCUGGGUGUUAAGAAGCCUGUGAGGUAGGAUGAUGUUCCUAUCCUCACACCAAUGAUUCAGGUGUGAUAACUCCCCUCCAGGGAGUCAUUAGCACCUCCACACCCAGCCUGAGGGGUCAUGUCUGCUAAUGGGCCAUCAAGGAUUCCAAAAAUAUCUCAGGACUCACAAUCACCCACUGUGGAACUCCCCAUCCUGGGGAAGGUAUUGGGCAUUCCCACUCGAACCUGAGUGCAUAUAGUCUUGGGGUCUUGGGACUUCUGGUAACACUUGUCAGUUCCAGAGGAGGACCAGAACCUCGACCGGACUGCAACCACCACUCUUGACCAGACUACAACCACCACUCUCACCAACAGGUUGUUCCUUCCCUUUUACUUUGGACUCAGGGGGACCACGUGGGGUUCAGCACGGGGCCAAUGAGCACUAUUCUGUUCGUGCCCCAGGGUGCUGAGUUAUACAUCUGGGUUUUGUGGGUUAAAACCAAUUGUUUGUCCAUAUAAUUGUAUUUAUUGUAUUAUUGUUAUUAAAUUGUAACUCUGACUUAUAA